rnacentral:rRNA from 1 species
AACGAACGCUGGCGGCGUGCCUAACACAUGCAAGUCGUGCGAGAAAGUUCCUUCGGGAGCGAGUAAAGCGGCGCACGGGUGAGUAACACGUAGGUAACCUGCCCCCCAGUCUGGAACAACUAGAGGAAACUACUAGCUAAUGCCGGAUGAGACCACGAUCCCUUCGGGGGUUGGCGGCCAAAGAUGGCCUCUACUUGUAAGCUAUCGCUGAGGGAUGGGCCGUGCGGGCCAUUAGCUUGUUGGUGAGGUAACGGCUCACCAAGGCUGUGAUGGCUAGCUGGUCUGAGAGGAUGACCAGCCACACUGGGGACUGAGGACACGGCCCCAGACUCCUACGGGAGGCAGCAGUGGGGAAUAUUGCGCAAUGGGCGAAAGCUGACGCAGCGACGCCGCGUGGGU